rnacentral:rRNA from 1 species
GACGAACGCUGGCGGCGUGCUUAACACAUGCAAGUCGAACGGAAAGGCCCCUUUGGGGGUACUCGAGUGGCGAACGGGUGAGUAACACGUGAGUAACCUGCCCUUGACUUCGGGAUAACUUCAGGAAACUGGGGCUAAUACCGGUUAGGAAUCCUUGCUGCAUGGUGGGGGUUGGAAAGCUUCGGCGGUUUUGGAUGGACUCGCGGCCUAUCAGCUUGUUGGUGGGGUAAUGGGUUACCAAGGCUUUGACGGGUAGCCGGCCUGAGAGGGCGACCGGCCACAUUGGAUCUGACAGAAGGCCACGACGCCGACGGUAGGCAGCAGGGGGGAAUAUUGCACAAUGGGCGCAAGCCGGAUGCAGCAACGCCGCGGGCGGGAUGACGGGCUUCGGGUUGUAAACCGCUUUCAGCAGGGGCGAAGCUUGUGGUGACGGUACCUGCAGAAGAAGCACCGGCUAACUACGUG